GAUGAACGCUAGCUACAGGCUUAACACAUGCAAGUCGAGGGGAAACGGCAUUGAGUGCUUGCACUCUUUGGACGUCGACCGGCGCACGGGUGAGUAACGCGUAUCCAACCUUCCCAUUACUGUGGGAUAACCUGCCGAAAGGCAGACUAAUACCGCAUAGUCUUCGAUGACGGCAUCAGAUUUGAAGUAAAGAUUCAUCGGUAAUGGAUGGGGAUGCGUCUGAUUAGCUUGUUGGCGGGGUAACGGCCCACCAAGGCAACGAUCAGUAGGGGUUCUGAGAGGAAGGUCCCCCACAUUGGAACUGAGACACGGUCCAAACUCCUACGGGAGGCAGCAGUGAGGAAUAUUGGUCAAUGGACGGAAGUCUGAACCAGCCAAGUAGCGUGCAGGAUGACGGCCCUAUGGGUUGUAAACUGCUUUUGUAUGGGGAUAAAGUUAGGGACGUGUCCCUAUUUGCAGGUACCAUACGAAUAAGGACCGGCUAAUUCCGUGCCAGCAGCCGCGGUAAUACGGAAGGUCCAGGCGUUAUCCGGAUUUAUUGGGUUUAAAGGGAGCGUAGGCUGGAGAUUAAGUGUGUUGUGAAAUGUAGACGCUCAGCGUCUGAAUUGCAGCGCAUACUGGUUUCCUUGAGUACGCACAACGUUGGCGGAAUUCGUCGUGUAGCGGUGAAAUGCUUAGAUAUGACGAAGAACUCCGAUUGCGAAGGCAGCUGACGGGAGCGCAACUGACGCUUAAGCUCGAAGGUGCGGGUAUCAAACAGG
rnacentral:rRNA from 1 species